AUUGAACGCUGGCGGCAUGCCUUACACAUGCAAGUCGAGCGGCAGCGCGGGGGCAACCCUGGCGGCGAGCGGCGGACGGGUGAGUAAUACAUCGGAACGUGUCCUGUCGUGGGGGAUAACCAGUCGAAAGACUGGCUAAUACCGCAUGAGAUCGAAAGAUGAAAGCGGGGGACCGCAAGGCCUCGCGCGAUUGGAGCGGCCGAUGCCGGAUUAGCUAGNGGCGGGGUAAAGCCCACCAAGGCUACGAUCCGUAGCUGGUUUGAGAGAACGACCAGCCACACUGGGACUGAGACACGGCCCAGACUCCUACGGGAGGCAGCAGUGGGGAAUUUUGGACAAUGGGCGCAAGCCUGAUCCAGCCAUGCCGCGUGUGUGAAGAAGGCC
rnacentral:rRNA from 1 species